GGGGCCUGAGGAAAGGGUCCCAAAGCCUGGUGGAGUAGUUUAAGCUGUCACUUCCAAGCUCAGAAGGCUGAGAUAAGAGGAUUGCUACAAAUCACAGGUCAGUGCAGACGGCAUAGUGGGUUACAAAGAAACCAUGGCUACAGAAUGAGGCCCUGUCUCAAGUCACAAAAGUGAAAAGCACAAACAAGACAGAUGGUUUUCAAAAUAGUAGCCAUCCCGGUCUCAGCUAGCCAUCCCAGAUUCAACUAGCCAUCCCAGUCGCAGCUUGCUCUGAGCAGACCAUGGAAAUGGGAACGGGAGGCUCUUCAGCUGAGAAGACAGCAUCAGAAACUUCACAGAUCACCGAGAACAGGACCAGAAGUGAAACUGGAUCCACCCUGCUUACCCCUGCAGGCAGGAGCAGUCACUGAACACUGCCCUACAAACAUUGUGCCACAUGGUACUCCACUUCAGGGCCUUUUUCACUGCACCAGGAGGGUAAUAUGGCACUCCUAUGACCAGCCUUCCCCAUCGAAGAGCUGGACCUUACCUCACAACGCAGAGUAGCUCCUGAGUCCUGACCAGGAGCCAAAACAGUUCCCCAUUGCUUUGUUAUUGCUUCUUCUCAACUCAGAUGGAAUUGUCCAGAAAUGAAA